rnacentral:rRNA from 1 species
UGAGGGAAAGGCGAAAAGAACCCCGGCGAGGGGAGUGAAAAAGAACCUGAAACCGUGUACGUACAAGCAGUGGGAGCACAGGUUUACCUGUGUGACUGCGUACCUUUUGUAUAAUGGGUCAGCGACUUAUAUUCUGUAGCAAGGUUAACCGUAUAGGGGAGCCGGAGGGAAACCGAGUCUUAACCGGGCGUUAAGUUGCAGGGUAUAGACCCGAAACCCGGUGAUCUAG